UUUAUCUGUCAUAAUGAUUGAUUUGUAUUCAUUUUACACUGUAUAGUUUUGUAGCUGAGUUUUCUAUCUAUAAGGUAUAGAAAUCCCUGUUUAAGUUAAUAAUAAAUAAUUAUCUUCAAAGGUGACAGAUUGAUUACAUGUAUGACUAGUCUGAAGAUUAGCCUAGGAUUUAGUUAACUAAAAAAAUAUAUAUAUAUUAUAAAUAUAUAUAUAUAUAUAUGUAUAUAUACACAUAAUAUAUAACUUAAAUGAAUUUUAAUUUUAAACUUAGCAUGAUCAGGAGCACAAAAUAUAGUAGUGUAUCAUUUAAUUAAUUGCUAGAGUAUUUUGUUCUUUGAACUUGACUAUUAAUUCCCUAACUUACCUGUCCUACAGUCCUUGUUGAACUGUUUACUUUCUUGAUUGAACUGGCCACUAUCAGUUGUUUAUCAGGUUGAAACACCUGGGAAAUCAUAUUUUAUAUUUGCUUGUUUUGUUUACUAAAACCCAUAGAGCAAUUUGAAAGAGUUAAGAAACAACACUCUAAAUAUUAUUAGCGGAGAACCACUGAAAUAAAUUGUGUCAUGGAUUUUCUCAGUUGUGCUACUAAAAACCAACCCAUGUGACUAGUAAAUUUGAUGAAGGCUAAUUGGUGAGUUAGGUAGUAGCUCUGUGGUUCAGGUAUAAGUCUAAAUCUCAUUUGGUACUAUUAAAUUAAUUACCAAAUAUUUUGCUUCGUGAGAAUCAUUAAGACAUGGAAAGCUCACAGAUAUUUGGCCUGUGAAUAUUUUAUUCCUAUUAGUCCUUACUCUUAAAGAGUCAUGCAGUCAGGAUUGGGGUUGUAGUUCAGUGGUAGCGUGCUUGCCUACUAUGUGUGAGG
rnacentral:lncRNA from 1 species